GAUGAACGCUGGCGGCGUGCUUAACACAUGCAAGUCGAACGGAAAGGCUCCUGCUUGCAGGGGUACUCGAGUGGCGAACGGGUGAGUAACACGUGGGUGAUCUGCCCUGCACUUCGGGAUAAGCCUGGGAAACUGGGUCUAAUACCGGAUAGGACCACAUUUUGGAUGGUGUGGUGGAAAGUUUUUCGGUGUGGGAUGAGCUCGCGGCCUAUCAGCCUGUUGGUGGGGUAAUGGCCUACCAAGGCGUCGACGGGUAGCCGGCCUGAGAGGGUGUACGGCCACAUUGGGACUGAGAUACGGCCCAGACUCCUACGGGAGGCAGCAGUGGGGAAUAUUGCACAAUGGGCGCAAGCCUGAUGCAGCGACGCCGCGUGGGGGAUGACGGCCUUCGGGUUGUAAACUCCUUUCGCUAGGGACGAAGCGCAAGUGACGGUACCUGGAGAAGAGGCACCGGCUAACUACGUG
rnacentral:rRNA from 1 species